rnacentral:rRNA from 1 species
UACGUAGGGUGCGAGCGUUGUCCGGAAUUAUUGGGCGUAAAGAGCUCGUAGGCGGUCUGUCGCGUCGAAUGUGAAAACCCGGGGCUCAACUCCGGGCUUGCAUUCGAUACGGGCAGGCUAGAGUUCGGUAGGGGAGUCUGGAAUUCCUGGUGUAGCGGUGAAAUGCGCAGAUAUCAGGAGGAACACCGGUGGCGAAGGCGGGUCUCUGGGCCGAUACUGACGCUGAGGAGCGAAAGCGUGGGGAGCGAACAGG